GAUGAACGCUGGCGGCGUGCCUAAUACAUGCAAGUCGAGCGAACAGACGAGGAGCUUGCCCCUCUGACGUUAGCGGCGGACGGGUGAGUAACACGUGGAUAACCUACCUAUAAGACUGGGAUAACUUCGGGAAACCGGAGCUAAUACCGGAUAAUAUAUUGAACCGCAUGGUUCAAUAGUGAAAGACGGUUUUGCUGUCACUUAUAGAUGGAUCCGCGCCGCAUUAGCUAGUUGGUAAGGUAACGGCUUACCAAGGCAACGAUGCGUAGCCGACCUGAGAGGGUGAUCGGCCACACUGGAACUGAGACACGGUCCAGACUCCUACGGGAGGCAGCAGUAGGGAAUCUUCCGCAAUGGGCGAAAGCCUGACGGAGCAACGCCGCAUGAGUGAUGAAGGUCUUCGGAUCGUAAAACUCUGUUAUUAGGGAAGAACAAAUGUGUAAGUAACUAUGCACGUCUUGACGGUACCUAAUCAGAAAGCCACGGCUAACUACGUG
rnacentral:rRNA from 1 species